rnacentral:other from 1 species
UAUGCAUCACUGUAUGGUGCGUGAAAGUUCUAUCUGGAAGUCGAAAGAUCAAGGCCUGAGUUUCAUACGCUCAGGCUUGUUUGGUUAACACCGGCCUUGCCGGUCAACCCGACCGACGAAGAACAGAAAGCGCCUCAAAUAUUACCUGCCUGAAGGAGGCAAACACAAUGUCGGAACGUGAAAUCGGCACGGUCAAGUGGUUCAGCAACAACAAAGGCUAUGGCUUCAUCGAGCGCGAAGAUGGCCCGGACGUAUUUGUCCAUUUCUCAGCCAUCGAGGCGGAUGGCUAUCGCUCCCUAGAAGAAGGACAGCGCGUGGAAUUCACCAUCGAGCAAGGGCCAAAGGGACCGCAGGCUGCCAACGUUGCUAUUCUCUAAAUAAAAAGAGAUCUUGACACGAAAGCCCUUCGCAAUGCGGAGGGCUUUUCC